rnacentral:SRP_RNA from 1 species
GAUAAGUCAAUAGAACAAUAACCUUGUAACUUGGUCAGGGCAGAGAUGCAGCAGCCAUAUCGAGAAGUGUUGUGUCUGUUGACUUUUUAUU